rnacentral:lncRNA from 1 species
AUGGCAGCUGGCAUUCUGUCUUCCUGUUUAUUGCAGUUUAUCUCAAGCAGUCAUUUCCAUUCACCUUUUAAAAAAAACAUGAGGCGCAGCUGUGGCUUCACUUUAAAUAUUGUUCCUUCCAGCCUUUUAAUUUUUUUCACGGGCUCCUCCCCAAUCUUUCACCAUAAUUGGAUGCACGACACCAGAGACAGCACCUCGGAGAAACAAAGCGAGCGAGCCGGCCUCUCCCUCCUCGGCCACACGCGGCCCGUCCGCAGCUCCGUCUUCUGCAAGCAGCAGCCUGGGGACACAGCAGCGUCCUGGGCUUGCUCUGCCCGGGGACCAAGUGGCGGCCAGCCUUUCGCCGCAUUCUGGGUGAAAUUGUCUUCUUUUCCUUUCUUGGCCUCCCCUCAACGUACGGUGGCUCUAGCCUGGGUCCUUGGUCUCCCCUCAGCGUACGGUGGCUCUUGCCUGGGUCCUGCGCCGGCCAAGGCUGCAUGCACGUCUCCCAGGUGCACGCUGGAUCCGAACAUCCUUCCGGGCAGCAUCGAUCCCAUGGCAGCUUAUUUGUGUGCCUCCCCGCUGGGGCUGCAAGCUCCUGGAGGCAAAGCCCAGGCCCCCUUCUGUGGCUCUGGCCCCACACGCCAUGCCAGGGACGUGAAGGGGCUCUUAGGGGUGACAGCUGAGGAAUCGGGACAGAGAUCCCGGGCUGCAUGGGGAUCCCCGGGUGGCAACGGGGGUCCUGAGGACAGUCGGCUGUGUGGGGCUUUAGCAGAAGGUCAGAGGCUGCUCAGGGCGAGGCAGGACGAUAAUGGCCCAACAUACACACCUGAGAUCCUGCCACAAGGCAGCCUUUCCUCCCCAUACACUAAGAGCUGCUUUCUGUUGAGGACCAUUUUUCAACUACUCCUGAACAAACCAGAGGUCCUUAAUGAAACAUCUUUUUCACCAUCAGGGCCUCCCCCAAGGAAUAGGAACAGAUGUGUACUCUUUUCCGAUGGCUUAAACUGGGUGGAAUCUUAA